rnacentral:misc_RNA from 1 species
GAAAGGGAGAUCAGAGAGCUAAAGGAGCAACACACAGCAGACGUUGGGAACGCGACGAACAGGUCGGAGGGCGAGGAUGCGAAAGAUCGUCUGGAAGAAGGAGCCAGGAAGAUUCGGGAGCUGAGGGCGGAGGUGAGGGAGAUGGAGGAGCAGCUGACGCAAGCCGAGGUAACCUUUCCUUUGGAGGUCAAGCGGAAGUACAAAUACACAGGGAUUGAAGUCACUCCUGGCCAAAGGGAGAUGCAAGAUGUAGAUGCAAUAUCAACAACAAUAAAAAGAGAUUGAUAGAUUUGCAUUCAGUGGAAUCAAUUGCACAGUACAUUAGGCUACAUAUGUGUGUA